rnacentral:rRNA from 11 species
CUACGGGAGGCAGCAGUGGGGAAUAUUGCACAAUGGGCGAAAGCCUGAUGCAGCAACGCCGCGUGAGGGACGACGGCCUUCGGGUUGUAAACCUCUUUUAGUAGGGAAGAAGCGAAAGUGACGGUACCUGCAGAAAAAGCACCGGCUAACUACGUGCCAGCAGCCGCGGUAAUACGGAGGAUGCAAGCGUUAUCCGGAAUGAUUGGGCGUAAAGCGUCCGCAGGUGGCAUUUCAAGUCUGCGGUCAAAGGUCGAGGCUCAACCUCGAACAGGCCGUGGAAACUGAAAAGCUAGAGUGUGGUAGGGGCAGAGGGAAUUCCCAGUGUAGCGGUGAAAUGCGUAGAGAUUGGGAAGAACACCGGUGGCGAAAGCGCUCUGCUAGGCCAAGACUGACACUGAGGGACGAAAGCUAGGGGAGCGAAUGGGAUUAGAUACCCCAGUAGU